rnacentral:rRNA from 1 species
GACGAACGCUGGCGGCGUGCUUAACACAUGCAAGUCGAACGGUGAAGCGCCUUCCUUUUUGGUGGGUGUGGAUGAGUGGCGAACGGGUGAGUAACACGUGAGUAACCUGCCCCCUUCUUCUGGAUAACCGCAUGAAAGUGUGGCUAAUACGGGAUAUUCUGGGUCUGUCGCAUGAUGGGUCUGGGAAAGAUAUUGUUUCGGUGGGGGAUGGGCUCGCGGCCUAUCAGCUUGUUGGUGGGGUGAUGGCCUACCAAGGCGGUGACGGGUAGCCGGCCUGAGAGGGUGGACGGUCACACUGGGACUGAGACACGGCCCAGACUCCUACGGGAGGCAGCAGUGGGGAAUAUGGCACAGUGGGCGCAAGCCUGAUGCAGCGACGCCGCGUGAGGGAUGGAGGCCUGCGGGUUGUGAACCUCUUUCGCCAGUGAAGCAGGCCUGCCUCGUUUGUGGGUGGGUUGACGGUAGCUGGAUAAGAAGCGCCGGCUAACUACGUG